rnacentral:rRNA from 1 species
GCGCGAAAACUUUACAAUGCUGGCAGCAGCGAUAAGGGAACCUCGAGUGCCAGGUUACAAUCUGGCUGUCGAGAUGCCUAAAAAGCAUUUCAUAGCAAGGGCCGGGCAAGACCGGUGCCAGCCGCCGCGGUAACACCGGCGGCUCGAGUGGUAACCGUUAUUAUUGGGUCUAAAGGGUCUGUAGCCGGCCGGAUAAGUCUCUUGAGAAAUCUGGCAGCUUAACUAUCAGGCUUUCAGGAGAUACUGUCUGGCUCGAGGCCGGGAGAGGUGAGAGGUACUUCAGGGGUAGGGGUGAAAUCUUGUAAUCCUUGAAGGACCACCAGUGGCGAAGGCGUCUCACCAGAACGGACCUGACGGCAAGGGACGAAAGCUAGGGGCACGAACCG